rnacentral:rRNA from 1 species
CGCGUAGGUGGUUAGGUAAGCGAGAUGUGAAAGCCCCGGGCUUAACCUGGGAACGGCAUUUCGAACUGUCUGACUAGAGUAUGGUAGAGGGUAGUGGAAUUUCCUGUGUAGCGGUGAAAUGCGUAGAUAUAGGAAGGAACACCAAUGGCGAAGGCGGCUACCUGGACCAAUACUGACACUGAGGUGCGAAAGCGUGGGGAGCAAACA